UCGAGCGGUAGCACAGAGAGCUUGCUCUCGGGUGACGAGCGGCGGACGGGUGAGUAAUGUCUGGGAAACUGCCUGAUGGAGGGGGAUAACUACUGGAAACGGUAGCUAAUACCGCAUAACGUCGCAAGACCAAAGUGGGGGACCUUCGGGCCUCAUGCCAUCAGAUGUGCCCAGAUGGGAUUAGCUAGUAGGUGGGGUAAUGGCUCACCUAGGCGACGAUCCCUAGCUGGUCUGAGAGGAUGACCAGCCACACUGGAACUGAGACACGGUCCAGACUCCUACGGGAGGCAGCAGUGGGGAAUAUUGCACAAUGGGCGCAAGCCUGAUGCAGCCAUGCCGCGUGUGUGAAGAAGGCCUUCGGGUUGUAAAGCACUUUCAGCGGGGAGGAAGGCGUUGAGGUUAAUAACCUUGUCGAUUGACGUUACCCGCAGAAGAAGCACCGGCUAACUCCGUGCCAGCAGCCGCGGUAAUACGGAGGGUGCAAGCGUUAAUCGGAAUUACUGGGCGUAAAGCGCACGCAGGCGGUCUGUCAAGUCGGAUGUGAAAUCCCCGGGCUCAACCUGGGAACUGCAUUCGAAACUGGCAGGCUAGAGUCUUGUAGAGGGGGGUAGAAUUCCAGGUGUAGCGGUGAAAUGCGUAGAGAUCUGGAGGAAUACCGGUGGCGAAGGCGGCCCCCUGGACAAAGACUGACGCUCAGGUGCGAAAGCGUGGGGAGCAAACAGGAUUAGAUACCCUGGUAGUCCACGCCGUAAACGAUGUCGAUUUGGAGGUUGUGCCCUUGAGGCGUGGCUUCCGGAGCUAACGCGUUAAAUCGACCGCCUGGGGAGUACGGCCGCAAGGUUAAAACUCAAAUGAAUUGACGGGGGCCCGCACAAGCGGUGGAGCAUGUGGUUUAAUUCGAUGCAACGCGAAGAACCUUACCUGGUCUUGACAUCCACAGAACUUUCCAGAGAUGGAUUGGUGCCUUCGGGAACUGUGAGACAGGUGCUGCAUGGCUGUCGUCAGCUCGUGUUGUGAAAUGUUGGGUUAAGUCCCGCAACGAGCGCAACCCUUAUCCUUUGUUGCCAGCGGUUAGGCCGGGAACUCAAAGGAGACUGCCAGUGAUAAACUGGAGGAAGGUGGGGAUGACGUCAAGUCAUCAUGGCCCUUACGACCAGGGCUACACACGUGCUACAAUGGCAUAUACAAAGAGAAGCGACCUCGCGAGAGCAAGCGGACCUCAUAAAGUAUGUCGUAGUCCGGAUUGGAGUCUGCAACUCGACUCCAUGAAGUCGGAAUCGCUAGUAAUCGUAGAUCAGAAU
rnacentral:rRNA from 1 species